UAGGGAAUCUUCCACAAUGGACGCAAGUCUGAUGGAGCAACGCCGCGUGAGUGAAGAAGGCUUUCGGGUCGUAAAACUCUGUUAUUGAAGAAGAACGUGCGUGACAGUAACUGGUCAUGCAGUGACGGUAUUCAAUCAGAAAGUCACGGCUAACUACGUGCCAGCAGCCGCGGUAAUACGUAGGUGGCAAGCGUUGUCCGGAUUUAUUGGGCGUAAAGCGAGUGCAGGCGGUCUUUUAAGUCUGAUGUGAAAGCCUUCGGCUUAACCGAAGAAGGGCAUCGGAAACUGGGAGACUUGAGUGCAGAAGAGGAGAGUGGAACUCCAUGUGUAGCGGUGAAAUGCGUAGAUAUAUGGAAGAACACCAGUGGCGAAGGCGGCUCUCUGGUCUGUAACUGACGCUAAGGCUCGAAAGCGUGGGUAGCAAACAGGAUUAG
rnacentral:rRNA from 1 species